ACACCGUUUUGGUGAAGUGGUUAUCAUGCUUGCCUUCCAAUCAAGCAGUUCGGGUUCGAUUCCUGAGCGGUGUA
rnacentral:tRNA from 1 species